GGAUCAUUACUGAGUACUACACUCUCUACCCUUUGUGAACUAUUAUACCUGUUGCUUCGGCGGCGCCCGCGAGGGUGCCCGCCGGUCUCAUCAGAAUCUCUGUUUUCGAACCCGACGAUACUUCUGAGUGUUCUUAGCGAACUGUCAAAACUUUUAACAACGGAUCUCUUGGCUCCAGCAUCGAUGAAGAACGCAGCGAAACGCGAUAUGUAAUGUGAAUUGCAGAAUUCAGUGAAUCAUCGAAUCUUUGAACGCACAUGGCGCCUUCCAGUAUCCUGGGAGGCAUGCCUGUCCGAGCGUCGUUUCAACCCUCGAGCCCCCGUGGCCCGGCGUUGGGGAUCUGCCACGGCAGGCCCCUAAAACCAGUGGCGGACCCGAAGGCCCUCUCCUUUGCGCAGUAGCAUCAGCCUCGCAUUGGGAUCCCUCGGCGUCCUGCCUCUAAACCCCCCACAAGUCCGUCCGGCGGCACCAAGGUUGACCUCGGUCAGGUAGGAAUA
rnacentral:misc_RNA from 1 species